rnacentral:misc_RNA from 1 species
GUAUAUAAAUGCGUUACACGCAAAAUUGACAUUCUAUAACUGAAGCGUUUUUAAUAAAACAUAAGAAGGCUUCCAGUCGAACAAAACAAAUUGUCCAACCUUUCACCAUCCUACAACAAGUGCACAGAAGUUGAGAGUAGAUGAGCAGGGCGUGCACAUUGUCUCAGUUAAGAAACCAGCUACAGCCCAUUUCAAGACUCAUUAAUGAUCCUUCCGCAGGUUCACCUACGGAAA